AUUGAACGCUGGCGGCAGGCCUAACACAUGCAAGUCGAGCGGAUGAAGGGAGCUUGCUCCUGGAUUCAGCGGCGGACGGGUGAGUAAUGCCUAGGAAUCUGCCUGGUAGUGGGGGAUAACGUCCGGAAACGGGCGCUAAUACCGCAUACGUCCUGAUGGAGAAAGUGGGGGAUCUUCGGACCUCACGCUAUCAGAUGAGCCUAGGUCGGAUUAGCUAGUUGGUGGGGUAAAGGCCUACCAAGGCGACGAUCCGUAACUGGUCUGAGAGGAUGAUCAGUCACACUGGAACUGAGAAACGGUCCAGAAUCCUACGGGAGGCAGCAGUGGGGAAUAUUGGAAAAUGGGCGAAAGCCUGAUCCAGCCAUGCCGCGUGUGUGAAGAAGGUCUUCGGAUUGUAAAGCACUUUAAGUUGGGAGGAAGGGCAGUAAGUUAAUACCUUGCUGUUUUGACGUUACCAACAGAAUAAGCACCGGCUAACUUCGUG
rnacentral:rRNA from 1 species